rnacentral:rRNA from 1 species
UACGAAGGGGGCUAGCGUUGCUCGGAUUGACUGGGCGUAAAGGGCGCGUAGGCGGUUCGUACAGUCAGACGUGAAAUUCCUGGGCUCAACCUGGGGGCUGCGUUUGAUACUGGAUGGCUUGAGUUUGGGAGAGGGAUGCGGAAUUCCAGGUGUAGCGGUGAAAUGCGUAGAUAUCUGGAGGAACACCGGUGGCGAAGGCGACAUCCUGGACCAACACUGACGCUGAGUGAGCGAAAGCCAGGGGAGCAAACGGG